rnacentral:rRNA from 1 species
AUGUCGCGCCCGUCGCCGUUCAAGGCUCCACCACGCAAGCGGCAGGGCAACAUCGUUGUUCAGGGCGGCGCUCUGGCAGGCCCCGCUAGGAAGGCACGCGCGCCGGCCACCGCCACUGCGAAUCUAGUCCGGCCCGCACCAGCGGAGAAAGGGAAGGUUUCGGGUGUCAAACGCAAGAAGCCCACCGCAAGAGCUACCCCGCCAACACCUCCCCCGAUUGCCUCGGCUAGAGCUACCCCGAGGAUGCCCGCUGACGACGCUGAUGCCGCCGCCCCCGAGGACAAAAUUGCGCAAGAAAGAAACAAGAACAAGCCUAGUGGAAACAAGAAGGUCAAGGACAAGAUCAAGAGGGAAGCAGAGGCACCAAGCUUGCGGGACAAGCUAGAUCACAUGGUCAAGUCCAAUGAGGCAUUGGUGAUCAAUACAUUGGAGGCAAAUGAGUUUUCCGACAAGAAGACUCAAGAGAAGCAAGAUAAGUGGCAACUACUCAAGGAGGAGACCAUGCGCAAGGCCGCCAUUGAGGAGAGAGGAGCCAUGGCCGAGGAGAACAAAGCCAUGGCCAAGCUCCUUCAAGAGGAGAACAAGACCAUGAUGAUGAAUCGAAAUGACAUGGAUGAGCUCACCAAAGAAUGGAAUGACAUAGCAAGGUUGGAGAUCUUGGAAAGGAGGAGGCUAGCCAAAAGAGGCCAUGCGGUGCCAAGGUUCGGUGAGCAUGGUGGUUCGGCAAGUGGUGGUGCCAAUGGUGGCAGUGAAGAUUUCAUCUUGUGA